rnacentral:rRNA from 1 species
UACGUAGGGGGCAAGCGUUGCUCGGAAUUAUUGGGCGUAAAGCGCACGUAGGCGGCAUUGCAAGUCGGAUGUGAAAUCCCUCGGCUUAACCAAGGAAGUGCAUCCGAAACUGCAGUGCUUGAGUACUUAAGAGGAUCGCGGAAUUCCCGGUGUAGAGGUGAAAUUCGUAGAUAUCGGGAGGAACACCAGUGGCGAAGGCGGCGAUCUGGGAAGAUACUGACGCUGAGGUGCGAAAGCGUGGGGAGCAAACAGG